GGCAAGUGCUCCACUUAUUCAUCAAUCAAUCAAUCAAUUUGGGUGAAAUCAGGAAGAGAGAUCGAAAAUGGGGAAACCAUUGGGAGCGACCGGAGAGUUUUUCAGGCGAAGGGACGAGUGGAGGAAACAUCCUAUGUUGACCAAUCAGUUCCGCCACGCUUUCCCUGGCCUUGGCAUCGCUGUUGUAGCAUUCAGCAUUUACUGUGUAGGCGAAUAUGCUUACAACAACAUGUCUCAACCUUCUCACUCCACUACCUCUGCUUCUCAUUCUCACUGACAUGGUACGACGUUGUUCUGGUUUUUUGAUAUAUUUUAUGAAAUCUCAACCAACUUUUUUGAAGUUUUUGGCGUUUGUGAUUUUUUUUUUAGUUUUAGGAAAUGGGUCUCAUUAAUAUGCCACUGAUCCGAAAGGGGAACACAUAUUUUGAUGAAUUAGGUCUUAUUGAUGCGAAACAGUUUAAGUGUUUAAAUACGUUCCUGUUAUAAUGGAUUGGAGAUUGUAUGAUCCUAUGCUAAGGAAUGUCUUUGGUGAUGCUCAAUGGAUGCUUGAUUUGCGUCCACUA